UACGUAGGGGGCUAGCGUUGUCCGGAAUCAUUGGGCGUAAAGAGCGCGUAGGCGGCCCGGUAAGUCCGCUGUAAAAGUCCAGGGCUCAACCCUGGAAUGCCGGUGGAUACUGUCGGGCUCGAGUCCGGAAGAGGCGAGUGGAAUUCCUGGUGUAGCGGUGAAAUGCGUAGAGAUCGGGAGGAACACCAGUGGCGAAGGCGGCUACCUGGACCAGCACUGACACUGAAGCACGAAAGCGUGGGGAGCAAACAGG
rnacentral:rRNA from 1 species